AACAGCAACUGCAUGCGCUCGCUCAAAUAUUUCUCUCUUUCCCAGAAUGAACAUUCUGUGUUCCAAUACGCUUAGUAGUGGUAUGGAGGUGGUGGAGAUUUGUACUUGUACACCGGAGGAGGUGGAGAAUACACUGGCGGUGGUGGGGAUUUGUACUUGUACACUGGAGGUGGUGGGGAGUAAACCGGAGGUGGCGGAGACUUGUAUUUGUACACUGGUGGAGGCGGGCUGUGAACCGGGGGUGGUGGAGAUUUGUACUUGUAAACCGGUGGUGGUGGGCUGUGAACCGGGGGUGGCGGAGACUUGUAUUUGUAAACUGGUGGUGGUGGGCUGUAAACCGGGGGUGGUGGAGAUUUGUACUUGUAAACCGGUGGUGGUGGGCUGUGAACUGGGGGUGGCGGAGACUUGUAUUUGUAAACUGGCGGUGGUGGGCUGUAAACCGGUGGAGGUGGAGAUUUGUACUUGUACACUGGAGGAGGGGGCGAGUGCACUGGUGGUGGCGGGGAUUUGUAUUUGUAGACGGGCGGAGGUGGCGAGUACACCGGCGGUGGCGGGGACUUGUAUUUGUACACCGGCGGCGGCGGCGAGUAGACGGGCGGGGGCGGGGACUUGUAUUUGUACACCGGUGGAGGCGGCGAUUUGUAGUAGUAUGUCGGCGGUGGCGGGGAAGCGUACUUGUAAACCGGUGGCUCAUCGGCGCCCGCGAGAGCGGCCAGUGUCACACCCACAAAGAAGACGACGAGCGUUGGGCUCGGCCCCAUCAUUGUUUGGAUCAAUCGACCACCUGCGACUCAAUCGCGCAAAGCAAUGCGCGAUUCCUAGGAGCGCGAUGCCCUCAAAUCUCUAGAGAGGGAGAGAGAAGAGAAUAAGAGAGGGAGAUAGUGAGAAUGGGGCUCUGGAGAAGGGCUCUUUAUACUGCCUGCUUUCGCUCGAUAAAAAACCAUUUCUUAACGCGACUAGGUCCGAGCUGUUUUUUCUACCUCGAUUCACUCUCUGUGAAGAACUGGGCAAAAAGAAAAAAUCCAACACGGUGUGGGGUCGUGUUGCCAGCUUUCACACCUCGAAGCUUCAACGAGAAUGGCAACCCAAGUGGGAAAUGGUCUCAUCUCCAUAUCUGUAGACUUUGGAAUUCUUCCACUUUCUUUUUUGGAGCAGCUUUGCUGGAUCUCGAACUCGUUGUUUGGUGGUCAGUCCGAGUCGCUUAGCUCGUCGAUAGAGUUUAAUGACUCGAGCUCUGAAAGGAAAGAGCAGUUCGAACAACCAGAUCCUCCUGAAAUGCACGAGCUUGACUUUGGAGUUUUGGUUUCAUUCUGGACUUGAAACAGUGGUUUUCAUUCAGCUAACCUGGUCUCUUUCCUUCAAAGUGAAAGGGAGUGAUUCCCCCGGACAAGAAUAAAUCGAUCGAUGAUCAAAACCGUAUUGUUUACUCCAGCGAGAUGUUCUCGAGCCAAUGUGGGCGGUAAAAGCACGAUAAGUACGAUAGUCUUUUGUACGUUUUCACUGCGGUAUCACUGACUUUGUUACACCACGCUGAUUGAUCGAGUCUUCUCACAUAGAAUUUCUGUUUUUUAGCCAACCUACCCUUACUGACAACGUCGUCGCGUGUUUCGUGGCAUGUCAGAGCGUGCGCUGGUUGAUCGCAAGCCCGGCUUUGAUCAAAAACAUGGCACGGAGGUUCAAUUCAACAAUUCCCGCUGGCGAAUCCAGACCUCCCAACCAAUACUCUCUUGAUGGAUCUCGAAAUUGAUCGAGAGGAGAGAGCCCAAAUGCUAGACGACAACUUGGAAGAAUCAUAUAGGAGUCGAAGCGACUCCAAUUUACAACACCGGGGUCAUUCGUAUUCUUUUCGUGCCCAAAGUUUUUCCAAUGCUCUUCGUCACAAAAAUCUUUUACUGAAGCUAUCGAAAAUUUUAGAAAAGAAGAAGAGUUGUCCAUUGUGCUAUGGCUGGCUCUCGAAUGUUGAAUGUUUGGUUUGUAUCGAUAUUCAUACAGUCCCUUUCAAUCAGACGAAUGAGAAGUUUCUUCUCUGCACUACUGUAGCUGAUUGAAAUUCUGGCAGGAUCACGUAGCAGCCUUUGAAUCCAGUGCCGGUCAUCUUCACCAUGUGGCUCGUGGCAGUGGAGUCCAGCUUGAGAGGAAUCUGGAAGAACACGACCGGUAAUGUCAUCCCCAGACCUGUGUACUGGAUCCACAGCGUCUAAGAGAAGUGUUGCAAACGUUUGAUCCCAAAAGCACAUAUAGGCGAACCUGAGAGGAAUUUUCUCGACUUUGGAGAGCUGCGCGGGCAAACUCGUGUUCUUGGAGCUCAGCACGGCGACGUUGCGGCCUUUCUUGCGGCAGAGGAUGCCGAGGAACGAAUCGGACGUAUGUGGGUGGAGUUCACAAAGUCUGCGAGAUAGACAAUGGAGUUUCCAUCUUUGCCAAGCAAUGCACAGCCAUAGGCAGCAGCAGUAACACCAAUGACAUUUUCAAGUCUGAAAAGAAAAGAUUAGCUCCUAGCUGUGAUAACUCUCAAGAACAGAAGAACUACCACGUUUAAUUGAAGAGGCAAUCGUCUUGCUUCGUGAUAGCCAUGGAGCAAGAGCUACGUAGAGAGCCUGUACAUGAGCUUCUGUCUGCGAGACACACAAAGUGAUUCUAAGCAUGGACAUAAGAAGCAAGCAGUGAGUUCUAGAUACGAGAAAAUGUGGUUACCUGGAAGAAAUUGGAGGAACAAUUGGCGGUCUAAAUGGCAGUACAUGGAAACCAGCCUUGAGAACGUCCCUACGUAACGAAAAAAGAGUUGUAAACAUGCAUAUGACCACCAGAGCGAUUAUGCCGUCAAAUUAGCAAUCUGUUUUACUCUGCUCCACAGUUGCCUAACAACCACGAGAGCAGCAGCCAUACAGCAAAAAUCCAUAAGCAAGAUCACGAGAAAAAAGAUACGUUCUAAGCUUGGUGCCUUCACCAUUGAUUCCUAAAGAAGCAAAAUGAUCAGGAGCUUAUAAUUGACAGACUAUUUAGAACAAGGAAGAACAUGAUGGAAGCAUGAUUUAGCUCAUCGGAAAAGAUAUCUGCGAGACGUCUGGAAUGGUCAUGGAGAUUAUGCAUCCGUUUCACGCAUAUUAGCUGCAAAUCCUAUAGGACACAGCAAGCAUUCCUACAGAAGAAAAAAAGUAAAGCAUUGUAGCACAGUGGAAAAGAAACCUCAAGUGUUCUUAAGCGCUGCUAGAACAAGAUUCAAGUCUUCUGUGAUGAAUUGUGUAGCCACAAAUGAGAGCCACUUAGUCCCAUUCCAAAUUCGAUAGCAGCCUGGAAAGGAGUCUGCGGCGGAGCGAACAGCCGGAUGCAUAGAGAGUUCAUGAUGAUCGUUUCCAGAAAAUUGGAUGAGCAAUCGCAUUCUUUCUUUCUCUCUAGUCGAUUCUCCGCCUGCUUCCAGGUCUCCGGUGCGAUCAUGGAAGAAAGACACUCGCAUAAUUUCUUGAUGGAUCACGUAUUUCUUUCUCCCUUGCAUUCUAAUCGAUGGUGUGAAAGAGCUUCUGGCCCAUGUGAGCGAGUGCGCGUCCAAGAUCGAGACUGCGAAGCUGUGCGCGAUUAUUGCUGGCCAAGCUGUCGAGCGCUAAACAUACAUAAGUUUUUCUUCCGAGGACUCCCAGAAAUAACGCGCCCGUCAACGCGCGAUUCUGCUUCGCGGCCGCACAAUCCAAAUCAGUGGUGAUAGGAAAUUCCGAGCGCUAAUUGGAUGUCAAGUGCCAUCAUAGCAAGGAGCAUAAGUAAAAUUCUAAAUUUAUUUAUGAAAAUUAAUAUAUUUUGUCUAGCAUCAGCUAAGGGUGAAAGCUACUCUGUGGUUGUCAAUCUUCCCGUAUGAUAGAUGUCUUGCAGGGGCCUCAAUCUUCGUGACGACCACGGCAGGAAUGGAUCUUUCUUCUGCAGCUGCUCCUCCACUCAAAUUUCUCAAGUUUCAGACAAAAACAUCCAGAGCUAGCUGUGUGGUGUUGUCAUCUUUGCUUUCGGACUCUGCAAAAGACUGGCGUAAUGCCAGAAUCAUAUCCUCGUGUGGAUCACUUCCAAGGCUGUUGGUAAAUCGAUUUCAUCUUACCCUUUGAGACACUCAGAAAAUUGCUUUUUAUUUAUUCCAUAUGAUCAAAAUAACCCGCUCAGACAAGAUCAUCGAACAUUGGCCGAGCAAGAAAAGCAGCAAUUGCAUGCGCUCGCUCAAAUAUUUCCAGAUUGCAACGGAAAGAUCAUUGUUCUUAUGCGCUUAGUAGUGGUAUGGAGGUGGCGGGGAUUUGUACUUGUACACCGGAGGCGGUGGAGAAUACACUGGCGGAGGUGGGGAUUUGUACUUGUACACUGGAGGUGGUGGGGAGUAAACCGGAGGUGGUGGAGACUUGUAUUUGUAAACCGGUGGUGGUGGGCUGUAAACCGGAGGUGGGGGAGAUUUGUACUUGUAAACCGGUGGUGGUGGGCUGUAAACCGGAGGUGGGGGAGAUUUGUACUUGUAAACCGGUGGUGGUGGGCUGUAAACCGGAGGUGGUGGAGAUUUGUACUUGUACACUGGAGGUGGUGGGGAGUAAACCGGAGGUGGCGGAGACUUGUAUUUGUAAACUGGUGGAGGUGGGCUGUAAACCGGAGGUGGUGGGGAUUUGUACUUGUACACUGGUGGUGGUGGGCUGUAGACCGGUGGUGGUGGAGACUUGUAUUUGUACACUGGUGGUGGUGGGCUGUAGACCGGUGGUGGUGGAGACUUGUAUUUGUAAACCGGUGGUGGUGGGCUGUAAACCGGUGGAGGUGGAGAUUUGUACUUGUACACUGGAGGAGGAGGCGAGUACACGGGCGGUGGUGGGGAUUUGUAUUUGUAGACGGGCGGAGGUGGCGAGUACACCGGCGGUGGCGGGGAUUUGUAUUUGUACACCGGCGGCGGCGGCGAGUAGACGGGCGGGGGCGGGGACUUGUAUUUGUACACCGGUGGAGGCGGGGAUUUGUAGUAGUAUGUCGGCGGUGGCGGGGAAGCGUACUUGUAAACCGGCGGCUCAUUGGCGCCCGCGAGAGCGGCCAGUGUCACACCCACAAAGAAGACGAGCAUUGGGCUCGGCCC
rnacentral:lncRNA from 1 species